CACGUAGGGCGCGAGCGUUGUCCGGAUUUAUUGGGCGUAAAGAGCUCGUAGGCGGCUUGUCGCGUCGAGUCGUGAAAACUUGUGGCUCAACUACAAGCGUGGCGGUCGAGUACGGGCAGGCUGGAGGUUCGGUAGGGGAGACUGGAAUUCCUGGUGUAGCGGUGAAAUGCGUGAGAUAUCAGGAGGAACACCGGUGGCGGAAGGCCGGCUCUCUGGGACCACAAACUGAC
rnacentral:rRNA from 1 species